rnacentral:rRNA from 1 species
CGGGUUGUAAAGCUCUGUCCAUUGUGAAGAACAAGUAGCGCACGAAUAGGGCCGUAUAGUGACGGUAUCAAAGAAGAAAGCCCCGGCUAACUCCGUGCCAGCAGCCGCGGUAAUACGUAGGGGGCAAGCGUUGUCCGGAAUUAUUGGGCGUAAAGCGCGCGCAGGCGGUCUUUUAAGUCUGAUGUGAAAGCCCGGGGCUCAACCGUGGAAGGUCAUUGGAAACUGGGGGACUUGAGUAUGGGAGAGGGAAGUGGAAUUCCUGGUGUAGCGGUGAAAUUCGUAGAUAUCAGGAGGAACACCGGUGGCGAAGGCGACUUCCUGGACCAAWACUGACGCUGAGGCGCGAAAGCGUGGGGAGCAAACAGGAUUAGAUACCCUGGUAGUCCACGC